rnacentral:rRNA from 1 species
UGGGGAAUAUUGGACAAUGGGCGAAAGCCUGAUCCAGCCAUGCCGCGUGUGUGAAGAAGGUCUUCGGAUUGUAAAGCACUUUAAGUUGGGAGGAAGGGCAUUAACCUAAUACGUUAGUGUUUUGACGUUACCGACAGAAUAAGCACCGGCUAACUCUGUGCCAGCAGCCGCGGUAAUACAGAGGGUGCAAGCGUUAAUCGGAAUUACUGGGCGUAAAGCGCGCGUAGGUGGUUUGUUAAGUUGGAUGUGAAAUCCCCGGGCUCAACCUGGGAACUGCAUUCAAAACUGACUGACUAGAGUAUGGUAGAGGGUGGUGGAAUUUCCUGUGUAGCGGUGAAAUGCGUAGAUAUAGGAAGGAACACCAGUGGCUAAGGCGACCACCUGGACUAAUACUGACACUGAGUGCGAAAGCGUGGGGAGCAAACA